UCCCGGAACACCGCUCCUGGAGCGAUUGUUUCAAUGUUGCUUGCUCGGAAUGGCCCUCCUGAGCAAACAACAGACGGUGCUCAAAGUAACAACUGGACUUAAUAAAAGGAGCUUACACGAAGGAGGAGCUGAAGGCUGCUGUGGUCGUGUGCUGGGGGCUGCCCCAGCUCCAGCUGCAGGACCCCGGCCGUCUGCCUUCCGACUCCGGUGAUGAUUCUUCCUGCGGUCUGAUCAAGAUUCUAUGCAGUUAACUUUGUAUCCAAGGAUCUAUAGCCAAGAAAUUUGGAGCUCAGUUUCAAACGCGGAACCCACACUAGGAAAUGAAAUGUCCCAAGAAAAUGCAGGUGGUCUCCAGGAGAUGAGGAUGGCAUUUGACUAAAAGCCA
rnacentral:lncRNA from 1 species